rnacentral:tRNA from 1 species
CAGUGAAUAGUUUAUUGUAAUAUGCCAGCUUUGGGAGCUGGAGAUAAAUGAUUAAGUAAAUUUUUUUCUGA